UUCUAUUAGACAUUAUUAAUAGUAAAAUCUGCUCAAUGAAAUUUAAAUAGCCGCUAUAAGUGCUAAGGUAGCAUAAUCAUUUGUCUUCUAAUUUAAGACUAGUAUAAAAGAUUAUACAUUUUAACUUAUAUUUCUAAUUAAAUUUUCUAAUUUAUCUUAAAUGUAAUAAGACAUUAAUAAUAUAGAAAGACGACAAGACCCUAUUGAACUUAACUUUAGUUAAACUGGGGCAGUUAAUCAAUUAUUAUUUUAAUAUAAGUAUUAUAACCAUAUAGACCUAAUACUAUUAAUCUAAUAAUCAAGUUACCAUAGGGAUAACAGCGUUAUAAUAUUUUAAAGAUCUUAUUAAAAAUCUCUUUUUGCGACCUCGAUGUUGAAUAGUAUUCUUGUUAACGCAAUAGAUUACAAAGAAAGUCUGUUCGACUUUUAAAAAACUACA
rnacentral:rRNA from 1 species